AGUCGAGCGGAAACGAUGUAGCUUGCUACAGGCGUCGAGCGGCGGACGGGUGAGUAACGCGUAGGAAUCUGCCUAGUAGAGGGGGACAACAUGUGGAAACGCAUGCUAAUACCGCAUACGCCCUGAGGGGGAAAGGAGGGGAUCACUUGUGACCUUCCGCUAUUAGAUGAGCCUGCGUGAGAUUAGCUAGUUGGUAGGGUAAAGGCCUACCAAGGCGACGAUCUCUAACUGGUCUGAGAGGAUGACCAGUCACACUGGGACUGAGACACGGCCCAGACUCCUACGGGAGGCAGCAGUGGGGAAUAUUGGACAAUGGGCGCAAGCCUGAUCCAGCCAUGCCGCGUGUGUGAAGAAGGCCUUAGGGUUGUAAAGCACUUUCAGGAGUGAGGAAGGGCRUUUGGUUAAUACCCAAAUGUUUUGACGUUAGCUCCAGAAGAAGCACCGGCUAACUCUGUGCCAGCAGCCGCGGUAAUACAGAGGGUGCAAGCGUUAAUCGGAAUUACUGGGCGUAAAGCGCG
rnacentral:rRNA from 1 species